rnacentral:rRNA from 1 species
GACGAACGCUGGCGGCGUGCUUAACACAUGCAAGUCGAACGGAAAGGCCCUGCUUUUGUGGGGUGCUCGAGUGGCGAACGGGUGAGUAACACGUGAGUAACCUACCCUUGACUUUGGGAUAACUUCAGGAAACUGGGGCUAAUACCGGAUAGGAGCUCCUCCUGCCUGGUGGGGGUUGGAAAGUUUCGGCGGAUGGGGAUGGACUCGAGGCUUAUCAGCUGGUUGGUGGGGUAGUGGCUAACAAAGGCUUUGACGGGUAGCCGGCCUGAGAGGGUGACCGGACACAUUGGGACUGAGAUGCGGCCCAGACUCGUACGGGAGACAGCAGUGGGGAAUAUUGCACAAUGGGCGGAAGACUGAUGCAGAAACGCCGCGUGCGGGAUGACGGCCUUCGAGUUGUAAACCGCUUUCGCCUGUGACGAAGCGUGAGUGACGGUAAUGGGUAAAGAAGCACCGGCUAACUACGUG